rnacentral:misc_RNA from 1 species
GAUGAAGAACGUAGCGAAAUGCGAUAAGUAAUGUGAAUUGCAGAAUUCAGUGAAUCAUCGAAUCUUUGAACGCACAUUGCGCCCGCCAGUAUUCUGGCGGGCAUGCCUGUUCGAGCGUCAUUUCAACCAUCAAGCCCCCGGCUUGUGUUGGGGACCUGCGGCUGCCGCAGGCCCUGAAAACCAGUGGCGGGCCCGCUAGUCACUCCGAGCGUAGUAAUACAUCUCGCUCAGGGCGUGCUGCGGGUUCCGGCCGUUAAAAAGCCUUAUUUACCCAAGGUUGACCUCGGAUCAGGUAGGAAGACCCGCUGAACUUAAGCAUAUCAAUAAGCGGAGGA